UGGGGGAUAUUGCACAAUGGGCGAAAGCCUGAUGCAGCGACGCCGCGUGGGGGAUGAAGGCUUUCGGGUUGUAAACCUCUUUCGCUAUCGAACAAGGCCCGCUUAGGGUGGGUUGAGGGUAGGUGGAGAAGAAGCGCCGGCUAACUACGUGCCAGCAGCCGCGGUAAUACGUAGGGCGCGAGCGUUGUCCGGAAUUAUUGGGCGUAAAGGGCUUGUAGGCGGCUUGUUGCGCCUGCUGUGAAAACGCGGGGCUUAACUUCGCGCGUGCAGUGGGUACGGGCAGGCUUGAGUGUGGUAGGGGUGACUGGAAUUCCAGGUGUAGCGGUGGAAAGCGCAGAUAUCUGGAGGAACACCGAUGGCGAAGGCAGGUCACUGGGCCAUUACUGACGCUGAGGAGCGAAAGCAUGGGUAGCGAACAGG
rnacentral:rRNA from 1 species